rnacentral:rRNA from 1 species
GAUGAACGCUAGCUACAGGCUUAACACAUGCAAGUCGAGGGGCAGCAUUUUAGUUUGCUUGCAAACUAAAGAUGGCGACCGGCGCACGGGUGAGUAACACGUAUCCAACCUGCCGAUAACUCGGGGAUAGCCUUUCGAAAGAAAGAUUAAUAUCCGAUGGUAUAUUAAAACCGCAUGGUUUUACUAUUAAAGAAUUUCGGUUAUCGAUGGGGAUGCGUUCCAUUAGUUUGUUGACGGGGUAACGGCCCACCAAGACUACGAUGGAUAGGGGUUCUGAGAGGAAGGUCCCCCACAUUGGAACUGAGACACGGUCCAAACUCCUACGGGAGGCAGCAGUGAGGAAUAUUGGUCAAUGGACGAGAGUCUGAACCAGCCAAGUAGCGUGAAGGAUGACUGCCCUAUGGGUUGUAAACUUCUUUUAUAUGGGAAUAAAGUAUUCCACGUGUGGGAUUUUGUAUGUACCAUAUGAAUAAGGAUCGGCUAACUCCGUGCCAGCAGCCGCGGUAAUACGGAGGAUCCGAGCGUUAUCCGGAUUUAUUGGGUUUAAAGGGAGCGUAGGUGGAUUGUUAAGUCAGUUGUGAAAGUUUGCGGCUCAACCGUAAAAUUGCAGUUGAAACUGGCAGUCUUGAGUACAGUAGAGGUGGGCGGAAUUCGUGGUGUAGCGGUGAAAUGCUUAGAUAUCACGAAGAACUCCGAUUGCGAAGGCAGCUCACUAGACUGCAACUGACACUGAUGCUCGAAAGUGUGGGUAUCAAACAGGAUUAGAUACCCUGGUAGUCCACACAGUAAACGAUGAAUACUCGCUGUUUGCGAUAUACAGUAAGCGGCCAAGCGAAAGCAUUAAGUAUUCCACCUGGGGAGUACGCCGGCAACGGUGAAACUCAAAGGAAUUGGCGGGGGCCCGCACAAGCGGAGGAACAUGUGGUUUAAUUCGAUGAUACGCGAGGAACCUUACCCGGGCUUAAAUUGCAUUUGAAUAAUCUGGAAACAGGUUAGCCGCAAGGCAAAUGUGAAGGCGCUGCAUGGUUGUCGUCAGCUCGUGCCGUGAGGUGUCGGCUUAAGUGCCAUAACGAGCGCAACCCUUAUCUUUAGUUACUAACAGGUCAUGCUGAGGACUCUAGAGAGACUGCCGUCGUAAGAUGUGAGGAAGGUGGGGAUGACGUCAAAUCAGCACGGCCCUUACGUCCGGGGCUACACACGUGUUACAAUGGGGGGUACAGAAGGCAGCUACCUGGCGACAGGAUGCUAAUCCCAAAACCUCUCUCAGUUCGGAUCGAAGUCUGCAACCCGACUUCGUGAAGCUGGAUUCGCUAGUAAUCGCGCAUCAGCCAUGGCGCGGUGAAUACGUUCCCGGGCCU